rnacentral:rRNA from 1 species
GUGCCAGCAGCCGCGGUAAUACGGGGGGGGCAAGCGUUGUUCGGAAUUACUGGGCGUAAAGGGCUCGUAGGCGGCCAACUAAGUCCGACGUGAAAUCCCUAGGCUUAACCUAGGAACUGCGUCGGAUACUGGAUGGCUUGAAUCCGGGAGAGGGAUGCGGAAUUCCAGGUGUAGCGGUGAAAUGCGUAGAUAUCUGGAGGAACACCGGUGGCGAAGGCGGCAUCCUGGACCGGUAUUGACGCUGAACAGCGAAAGCCAGGGGAGCAAACGGGAUUAGAUACCCCCGUAGUCC